AGCGAGCAUAAAAAGAGGCUGAACAAUUAUCAAAUAACUAAGGAAAGAGUAAAGAAGUAUAAAUUAGAAAAGAAAGAAAAAGAUAAAAGUUUAAACUGUGAAAGAGAGUUGAAUGGAAAUAGAGAAAAAAAUAGUGUGUCAAAUGAAAAAAAAGAAAAGUUUCAAAAAUAUGCAUUAUGUGUUGGGUACUUAGGUAGUAGAUUUCAUGGAUGUCAAGGUCAGGGAAAAGAAGUAAUGACAAUAGAAAAUGAAAUAGAACGUAUAUUACUUAAAAUUAAUGCCGUUACAAAAUUUAAUAAAACAUACAAUACAUGCUUAUCUAGGACAGCUAGAACUGAUUUAGGUGUGCAUGCAUUAUAUAAUGUUUUUGUUUAUAUGAUUAAUCUUGAGUGUGUUGAUGUAAAUUGUGAAGUUAAUCAUGAUUGUGAGAAGAGAAUAGAAAAUUUGGUAGGUUGCGAAAAUAAGAAUAGCGUUUUGGCGACUUCUAUUGAUAUCGAAACGGUACCCUCCACCGCUGAUGUCUUCGAAUUGCGAACAAAAAAGGAACAACGUUUUAUAAAAAUAUUUAAUAAACAUCUUCCUGACGAUAUCCAAUGCUUUAAAAUUUAUAAAGUGACAAAAAGCUUCGACGCUAGGAAAUUUUGUUCAUUCAGGAGAUAUGAGUAUUUAAUGCCAGUGUAUGUUUUAACAGAAGUUACUGUUAAUUCGAAAUACCAAAACGAAGUGAAUUCAGUUAUGGAACAUAUUAAUAAUUUUAUGGUAGAGAAUGAAAAAGCAAAAAAAAUGAGGAAAAAAGAAAAACAUAAAAAUAAUAGAAAUGGGAAGUUGAUGUCAUACGAAUCGGCAGAUAAAAAUGAGGAAGACAUAUCUGUUGAAAAGGGUGACAAACAAUGUGAUAAAGAAAGUGACAAACAAUGUGAUAAAGAAAGUGACAAAAAAGGUGACAGAAAAAGUGACAAAAAAGGUGACAAAGAAUGUGACAAAAAAGGUGAUAAAGAAAGUGACAACAGAGAUGAUAAAGAAAGUGACAACAGAGAUGAUAAAGAAAGUGACA
rnacentral:lncRNA from 1 species